UACGGGGGGGGCAAGCGGUUGUUCGGAAUUACUGGGCGUAAAGGGCUCGUAGGUGGCCAACUAAGUCAGACGUGAAAAUCCCUCGGCUUAACCGGGGAACUGCGUCUGAUACUGGAUGGCUUGAGUUUGGGAGAGGGAUGCGGAAUUCCAGGUGUAGCGGUGAAAUGCGUAGAUAUCAGGAGGAACACCGGUGGCGAAGGCGGCUUUCUGGACAGAAACUGACGCUGAGGUGCGAAAGCGUGGGGAGCAAACAGG
rnacentral:rRNA from 1 species